UUUUUUAUACUUAUCAAGUCAAAAUAUUUUAAUUGCACCAAUCAACACCAUAACAUUAUUUAAAGACAAUAAAAAAAUAAAAAACUAUAGUUGACUCUCUCUUUAAUUGGUACGUGACUCUAAACCGCCAAGCAGCGCGUAUCCCCCAAGUCCCAAUCAACGGAACUCAGAGACCAGAGACUCUUCCCCCUCUCUCUCUCUCUCUCUCUCUCUGACCAUCAUAAUUUACCCGAACUCAGAAGACAUGCCAACAGCAACGAACUACGGCUUCCCCUAAAUUUUGAGAUUAAAGAUUUUCCAUGUAUGCUUCACGUUCUUGUAAUAAUAUUUUGUAAAUUUCUGUUGUUUCUGUCUGGGCCAAAACCCUCUGGUGAGAGCCCUUAUAGUAGUCCAAAGUAAGAAUUAAAUUUCUCCUAGAGAAGGGAAGAAAGACGGAGAGAGAAUUUAGUUUGUUAAGCUUUCAUUUUCUACUGUUUGAUCCCUUUGCUUGGUUCGUUUGUUAUUUCCUAUAUGUUUGACUCUACUUGAAGCAAUCUCUCUUUCUCUUUCUCCUUAAUGGGCAGUGGGUUUGGAUCAUUUUCUUGUAUCUAUCUUCUAAAUCAGCUUGUAAACAUAUUUUCAUUCUUGGAGGGGAAUUGAAGUUAAAGUCCUCCCUCUCUCUUUUUUUUUUUUUUUCCUCUAAAAAUAAAUUUGGUAUUAUUUGUGAAAUGGGAAGCUGGGGUUUUGGUAUGGUCACCAGGGAAUAUUUGGGUCCUUUGUGGAUUUCAAGGAAGAGGAGAUUAGGGUUUGUGUUUAGGGUCGUUUUUGGAUUAUGGCUUGGUUUUGUUCUGUUAAAGCCAGUGUCUGGACUUAGACCGAUAAGAGAGAGGGCUUCGUCAUGGGGCGAUGAGUGGCUAUUUGUUAGAAAAGAUGAGAGUGAAUUGGGUCCAUUUCAUGCAUGGAAUAUAACAGGAACUUAUCGAGGGACUUGGAAAUUUCGGGAGUCUAUGAAUAGCUCUUCCAAAUUUCCUGAUUUCAGGAAAUCGGCUGGUGAUUCAGUCAUUGAAUUAGUUAGCACAGCAACAAAAAUAAACGGUGUACAUUAUAUUCAGGGUGUAAUUAUUUUCCAUGAUGUGUUUGAUAAUGAACACAAUGUUGGUGGUGCUCAAAUAAGAGUAGAGGGUGUAUAUAUAUGGCCUUUUAGACAGCUUCGAAUGGUAGCUAACAGUGGAAAGGAGGGAGAGAUGGGUCAGGAAGAUUAUAUUUUGUCUAACCCGUAUCAUUUGCUUGGAGUUUUCUCAUCUCACGUGUUCCAAGAAUCUCCACAAGACAAAAUAUGGAGAAGAAAAAAUUCACCAAUUUAUGAGAUGGAGAAACAUUGCAAUAUGGAAAUUGCAGCCCAAAUUUCACGCAUCCCAUCCAGCCAAAAUGAUGGAGAUCAUUAUCUUUAUCACAUCGAAGGAUUGAUGGAGAGUCCUGCAGUGGACGAUGAUGGAAAUUGUUUCUCACCUUUACUGUUAAAUGCAACUUCUGUCAAUAUUGAAGUUUAUUACAACAAAGCAGUCAACUACACCUUAAUGGUCACCUUUGUCUCUUUCCUUCAAGUCCUUUUGUUAAUUCGACAAAUGGAACACAGCAACACACAAUCGGGGGCUGUGAAAGUUUCAAUUUUAAUGAUUGGGCAACAGGCUAUCAUGGAUGCUUAUCUUUGCCUCUUACAUCUCACUGCAGGAAUACUGGUUGAAUCCUUAUUUAAUGCUUUUGCAACUGCGGCAUUCUUCAAGUUUGUAGUCUUCUCCAUUUUUGAGAUGAGGUACCUUCUUGCAAUAUGGAAGGCAAGUAGGCCUAUGAAUAAUGGAGAAGGUUGGGAGACAAUGCGGCGUGAGCUAUCAGUCUUAUAUAGCCGUUUCUAUGGGAUCCUUUUAGGAGGCAUUUUGGUCAUGUACGAGUUUCAUAAUUUUUUGCAGCCUAUACUUCUCCUUCUGUACUGCUUUUGGAUACCUCAAAUAAUCACCAAUGUUAUUCGUGAUUCAAGAAAACCUUUGCAUCCUUAUUACGUCUUAGGCAUGAGUAUUACUCGGCUAGCAAUCCCAUUAUAUAUAUUUGGAUGCCCUCACAACUUCAUGCGCAUUGAGCCUGACAAGAGCUGGUGUAUCUGUUUGGGUGUAUUCAUUGGACUUCAAGCAUCUAUUCUUCUUCUUCAGCACUAUCUUGGAUCUCGAUGGUUUAUUCCUCAUCAGAUCCUACCUGAGAAAUAUAGCUACCAUAGAAGAUAUGAUCCAAAUAAAAGUCAUGCCACAGACUGUGUCAUUUGUAUGACUGCCAUUGAUCUCACCCUGCGUUCAAGUGAUUUCAUGGUAACACCAUGCGGCCAUUUCUUUCAUUCUGGUUGUUUGCAAAGGUGGAUGGACAUAAAGAUGGAAUGCCCAACUUGCCGGCGUUCAUUGCCAACAGCUUAAAGAAAAUUUUCCAUUUUAUCCAUGUAACAUUGGAUCCAUUGAUGACCCCAGCUUAUUCAUUGCGGUGGUGAAAAGAUUCCAUCCAAUACCCGCAUUUUGCCUGGGUCCAUUGUCAGAAGAUGACUGAGAUACAGCAUCUAAGCAAUUUAAAAGUCACUGACACAGUAACAGUUUGUAGGCAACAUUCUUGUAUUCAUUGUACAAUUGUAUAAAUUUGAUGCACUUAAAAUAUUUCAAAAUAAGUUCAAAUUGCCUUGGGAAAAAAAAAAAAAAGUUUCUCAUACAUCCUUGGCUCCCCAUGUUUUUUACCAACUCUUUUCGAAUAUAGAUAGCCAGUCCAUUGCUAAAUCAACCAAGUGUUGAUUUUCUUAUUGCUAAGGUAUGAGACAUAGAGGGUUUCAAUCAAAUUUUGCAACUCAAGGUUAGAAUUCCAUUGCCCCGCCAGGCGGCAAUAACGAGUCAAACCAUUUUUAUGCCUAUGAACAUUCUUCAGCAAACAAAAUGAAAUGAUGAAUUAUGGCGUGUUUCGAUUUAUAUACUAGUUUUUUGUUUUUUGUUUUAUUAUAUUUUAUUUGUUUGGUCAGUGUUUUGCGCGUGAUUAACGUAUAUGUAAGCAAUUAACACAUGCCAAUAAAUUAAACAAAUAUUUGUUUUAAUAAAAUUCAUCAAUACUAUUCUAUAUAAAAAAGAUCUCAUGAGGAUUUUGACAAUGGCACGUGUGUUUUUUUAAUUAAACGUUUUGCCUUAGAAAUAUGAUAGGUGACUUCUAUUUUUACACGAUAACAUUAUAGUUUUUUUUUUUAUUUGUCAGAUAUAC